rnacentral:rRNA from 1 species
CACGUAGUUAGCCGGGGCUUCUUAGUCAGGUACCGUCAUUUUCUUCCCUGCUGAUAGAAGUUUACAUACCGAAAUACUUCUUCCUUCACGCGGCGUCGCUGCAUCAGGGUUUCCCCCAUUGUGCAAUAUUCCCCACUGCUGCCUCCCGUAGGAGUUUGGGCCGUGUCUCAGUCCCAAUGUGGCCGUUCACCCUCUCAGUCCGGCUACUGAUCGUCGCCUUGGUGGGCCGUUACCUCACCAACCAGCUAAUCAGACGCGGGUCCAUCUCAUACCACCGGAGUUUUUCACACUGUUCCAUGCGAAACCGUGCGCUUAUGCGGUAUUAGCAGUCAUUCUAACUGUUAUCCCCCUGUAUGAGGCAGGUUACCCACGCGUUACUCACCCGUCCGCCACUCAGUCAAAGAAAGCUUCAAACCGAAGUAAUCCGACUUUCAGUGCUUCGUUCGACUUGCAUGUGUUAGCACGCCGCCAGCGUUCAUCCUGAGCCAGGAUCAAACUCU